GACGAACGCUGGCGGCGUGCUUAACACAUGCAAGUCGAACGGAAAGGCCCUGCUUUUGUGGGGUGCUCGAGUGGCGAACGGGUGAGUAACACGUGAGUAACCUGCCCUUGACUUUGGGAUAACUUCAGGAAACUGGGGCUAAUACCGGAUAGGAGCUCCUGCUGCAUGGUGGGGGUUGGAAAGUUUCGGCGGUUGGGGAUGGACUCGCGGCUUAUCAGCUUGUUGGUGGGGUAGUGGCUUACCAAGGCUUUGACGGGUAGCCGGCCUGCGAGGGUGACCGGCCACAUUGGGACUGAGAUACGGCCCAGACUCCUACGGGAGGCAGCAGUGGGGAAUAUUGCACAAUGGGCGGAGGCCUGAUGCAGCAACGCCGCGUGCGGGAUGACGGCCUUCGGGUUGUAAACCGCUUUCGCCUGUGACGAAGCGUGAGUGACGGUAAUGGGUAAAGAAGCACCGGCUAACUACGU
rnacentral:rRNA from 1 species